rnacentral:rRNA from 1 species
AACGAACGCUGGCGGCAGGCUUAACACAUGCAAGUCGAACGCAUCGCAAGAUGAGUGGCAGACGGGUGAGUAACGCGUGGGAACAUACCCUUUUCUACGGAAUAGCUCUGGGAAACUGGAAUUAAUACCGUAUACGCCCUACGGGGGAAAGAUUUAUCGGGGAAGGAUUGGCCCGCGUUGGAUUAGCUAGUUGGUGGGGUAAAGGCCUACCAAGGCGACGAUCCAUAGCUGGUCUGAGAGGAUGAUCAGCCACAUUGGGACUGAGACACGGCCCAAAAGCCUACGGGAGGCAGCAGUGGGGAAUAUUGGACAAUGGGCGCAAGCCUGAUCCAGACAUGCCUCGUGAGUGAUGAAAGCCUUAGGGUUGUAAAGCUCUUUCACCAAUUAAAAAAAUGACGGUAGUCGGAGGAGAAGCCCCGGCUAACUUCGUGCCAGCCGCCGCGGUAA